UGUCACGACCCGAAACUCUCAUCGGGCCCGUGACAACCGCCGCGACGUCCCGAUAGGCACUCAUUACCCCGAAUGCCGAUCGGAACCCCGCAAGGCUUAGAAUCAGCUUCCGCAUCUCCCCAGUGAGCGACAGUUAUUAAAUCUCACAUUUCAAAAAAUCAUAAGUCAUUUCCAAAUCAAAACAAUAAAAUAUUACUUUCUGGCUCACAGGGGCAUUUUCAUCAUUUUUCUUCGAAAAUACCGAAACUCGCCAAAAACAUGGUGUAAAAGCUAAAUAUAUUCAUACAUACUUUAAAUCAAAUAACUGAAGAAUAAAAUUACUUUUACAGUGACACGUGGGCCCCCAACUGACUAAGAAGAUGUAGGGCUACGAACCCUUACUUUUUAAGAUGUAACUCCGAUAUUAAUUCUCGUCUUAAUCAACUAUCAACAAAUUGUCCUGAGCUUGAAAAAUGGAUAGGAAGAGGGGUGAGAUUAUGAUUACAUAAUCCCAGUGAGUAAACAAUUACCAUCAAAAGCAUCUAAAGCCGAGUAGAUUGAGACAAUAUAAAAACGUUA
rnacentral:lncRNA from 1 species